rnacentral:tRNA from 1 species
GCUCUAGUAGUAUAAACAUUACAUAGGUCUUGUAAACCUAAAAAGGAAAAUUCAAACAUUCCCUAGAACA